AGGUACAGUAUUCUAAACCAUGUUCAGAAUCUGUGAAAGAUCACCUGUAAUCCCCCCUGUGAAGCUGAGGCAGGUCAACAAUUGAUGAAUAAGUACUUCGUAGUGGGAGUGCAUUCUACAUGUUCUUCUAUUGAGAUCACAGAGAGUGCCAUACAUAAAAUGAGGAAGAAUAUGCAUGGAGAGAUUGCAGGGACAUGAUAAUUUGUUUUAUUUAAAUACUAAGGAUGUUCAUUUGCAGCUGCAAGUACAGUUUGCUAUUCUUUUCAAUUACAGCAUGUGAAACAAAGUUCAUUACAGCACUGAUGUUAUUGAAGAACUAACAGGAGUCUGCACUGGUGCUCUCGGGAACAGCAGCACAGAAGGCUGUGUUCGUAGGUGGUUUCUGUGAGGCUCGUUACCAGCAAGCUGAAGACCCAUGUGAAACCUACCUUUGGCAGCUGCUACUCUUUGCUUGCUGUUGUCACAGCUUACAGCCUAUUUGUCCCACAUCGAAUAGGGUGCUACUAUGACUCUGUCUGUAUGGCAAGGUAAGAUAGCAUAUACUGUAUUAUAGUAUAUAUGAUUCCAGAUGUUUAAGUAACAAAAAGAAGUUAGUUAGCUGGAGGGUCAAAACCCAAUCCCUAUUAAGGAGAAGAUCAACUCAACAGUUUAGUUAAAUGAUACAGGAUAUUUGCAAGUAUUUGAAAGGUGUAGAGGCCAAAGAGAGAAAAAUUAUUGUUUUUCAAGAUGCUUGGGUUAUAAUGAGGAAGAACAAAACUGAGCAUCAGAAAAUUCAGACUCAAGAUCAGGAAAAAUAAGCAAGGACAAAAGUAUGUGAGAUUCUAGAAGCAGUCACCAAGUGGAAAAAUGGAAACAGUCACCUGAGUCAUUUAUAAUUGAAGUGGACAAAGUGUUGGCUUUAGGCCACAAUUUUCUAUUAAGAUAGAGAUGGACAACUUAGUAUAACUUUCCCAUCUAUAGUUCAUAUUAGUUCUAUUUUAAUUUGGAUUAAAAAGACAUAGGCAAUAAAUUUAUAUCUCCCUAUCAUUUCUCCUCUAUGCUCUGUUAUAAAUAUGUGCAAAAUCUCUUAUUUAUCUUUAUUUUAUGUA